GAUGAACGCUAGCGGGAGGCUUAACACAUGCAAGUCGAGGGGCAGCACGUCUUCGGAUGGUGGCGACCGGCGCACGGGUGCGUAACGCGUAUGCAACCUGCCUUAUGCAGGGGGAUAGCCCGGGGAAACCCGGAUUAAUACCUCAUGAGACCUUUUUCCCGCAUGGGGUGAAGGUGAAAGAUUUAUCGGCAUAAGAUGGGCAUGCGUCUGAUUAGCUAGUUGGUAGGGUAAAGGCCUACCAAGGCGACGAUCAGUAGGGGUUCUGAGAGGAACAUCCCCCACACUGGUACUGAGACACGGACCAGACUCCUACGGGAGGCAGCAGUGAGGAAUAUUGGUCAAUGGGCGCAAGCCUGAACCAGCCAUCCCGCGUGCAGGAAGACGGCCCUAUGGGUUGUAAACUGCUUUUCCAGGGUAGAGAAACUUACGCACGUGUUGCGUGACUGACGGUACCCUGGGAAUAAGCAUCGGCUAACUCCGUG
rnacentral:rRNA from 1 species